rnacentral:lncRNA from 11 species
UCCCACACUCCCAAACCAAAUUUGGUGUCAUGACAUUUGAGUGGUUUCUUUUCUUUCUUUUCAACAGGGGCUUCUACAUACAACAGUUUCUAUGUUUUCUGCAAAAGUUUCUGCCAAGCCGUGAAACCUGGGAAGCUCAGGGUCCAUUGCAGAACAUGCAAGCAAGGGACACUGACACUGUCCAGGGGUCCAUCUUGCUGGGAAGACGUUCUGAUUCCCAACAGAAUAACUGGUGUUUGCCAGUCUCGAAACUGCAAUGGAGAAGUAGCGGUAAGAGAUCGUCAAUAUAAUAACGAUCAAAUAAACUAAAUUGAGUCACUUAGAAAAAUUAAACACAUAAACUAAAGACUGUG